GACGAACGCUGGCGGCGUGCCUAAUACAUGCAAGUAGAACGCACAGUUUAUACCGUAGCUUGCUACACCAUAGACUGUGAGUUGCGAACGGGUGAGUAACGCGUAGGUAACCUGCCUGGUAGCGGGGGAUAACUAUUGGAAACGAUAGCUAAUACCGCAUAAUAUUGAUUAUUGCUUGAUAAUUGAUUGAAAGAUGCUAUUGCAUCACUACCAGAUGGACCUGCGUUGUAUUAGCUAGUAGGUGAGGUAACGGCUCACCUAGGCGACGAUACAUAGCCGACCUGAGAGGGUGAUCGGCCACACUGGGACUGAGACACGGCCCAGACUCCUACGGGAGGCAGCAGUAGGGAAUCUUCGGCAAUGGACGAAAGUCUGACCGAGCAACGCCGCGGGAGUGAAGAAGGGUGUCGGAUCGUAAAGCUCGGUUGUAAGGGAAGAACGGGUGUGAGAGUGGAAAGUUCACACUGUGACGGUAUCUUACCAGAAAGGGACGGCUAACUACGUG
rnacentral:rRNA from 1 species